rnacentral:RNase_P_RNA from 2 species
AGCGUUGCCUGGACGGCCGCGUUCGGCCUUCGGGCCGACCGAGGAAAGUCCGGACUCCGCAGGGCGUGGUGGUGGCUAACGGCCACCGGGGGCAACCCUAGGGAAAGUGCCACAGAGAACAGACCGCCUAAGCGGCUCCGGCCGCCGGCAAGGGUGAAACGGCGAGGUAAGAGCUCACCGCGCGCUCGGCGACGAGCGUGGCAGGGUAAACCCCACCAGGAGAAAGCCCGCGUAGGGAGGGGAGGCGUGGCCCGCGCCGCUUGAACCUCCGGGUAGGGCGUUGGAUGCCGACGGCAACGGCGGCACGAGAGAAAUGGUCGUCGCCCCUUCGGGGGAACAAGAUCCGGCUUACAGGGCAACGCUCCAC